AUUGAACGCUGGCGGCAUGCCUUACACAUGCAAGUCGAACGGUAGAGGGGGCAACCUCUCGAGAGUGGCGAACGGGUGAGUAAAGCAUCGGAACGUGCCCAGUAGUGGGGGAUAGCCCGGCGAAAGCCGGAUUAAUACCGCACGAGACCUACGGGUGAAAGGGGGGGAUCGCAAGACCUCUCGUCAUUGGAGCGGCCGAUGUCAGAUUAGGUAGUUGGUGGGGUAAAGGCCGACCAAGCCGACGAUCUGUAGCUGGUCUGAGAGGACGACCAGCCACACUGGGACUGAGACACGGCCCAGACUCCUACGGGAGGCAGCAGUGGGGAAUUUUGGACAAUGGGCGAAAGCCUGAUCCAGCCAUGCCGCGUGCGGGAAGAAGGCCUUCGGGUUGUAAACCGCUUUUGUCAGGGAAGAAAUCCUUUGAGUUAAUACCUCGGGGGGAUGACGGUACCUGAAGAAUAAGCACCGGCUAACUACGUGCCAGCCGCCGCGGUAA
rnacentral:rRNA from 1 species